UUGUAAAAACUGAAGAAUUUUGAG
rnacentral:piRNA from 1 species